CUCCAGGUUCUCCUCCCCCUUGGGUUGUCCCCAACCCUUGGUGGCCCCAUCUCCUGGUUGUCCCCACCCCUUGGUGGCCCCAUCUCCAGGUUCUCCACCCCCUUGGUGGCCCCAUCUCCACGUUGUCCCCACCCCAAGUUCUCCAGGUUGGCCCCAUCCUUGAUGUCCCUCAACCCCAGGUUCUCCAGGUUGUCCCCACCCCUUGGGUUGUCUCCAACCCUUGGUGGCCCCAUCUCCAGGUUGUCCCCACCCCCUGGUGGCCCCAUCUUCAGGUUCUCCCCAUCUCCAGGUUCUCCCCAUCCUUGGUGGGCCUCCAUUUCCACGUUCUCCACCCUCUUGGUGGCCCCACCUUCUUGGUGGCAUCACCCUCGGGUUGUCCCCACCCCCUGGUGGCCCCAUCUCCACGUUGUCCCCACCCCAAGUUCUCCAGGUUGGCCCCAUCCUUGAUGUCCCUCAACCCCAAGUUCUCCAGGUUCUUCCCAUCCUUGAUGUCCCUCAAGCCCAGGUUCUCCAGGUUGUCCCCACCCCUUGGGUUGUCCCCAACCCUUGGUGGCCCCAUCUCCAGGUUGUCCCCAACCCCUUGGGUUGUCCCCACCCCUUGGUGGCCCCAUCUCAUCUCCACGUUGUCCCCAGGGCAGCGACGCGGAGGUUGGAGAGUCCGAGUCGGAGAUGGAGGACGAGACCUUCAACCCCUCGGAGGAGGACUACGAGGAGGAGGAGGAGGACAGCGACGAAGACUACUCCUCUGAGGCCGAGGAGUCAGGUAUGUCCCCGAGGAGGGGUGGCCUGGACCUCCAGAGGCCACCGUGUCCUCCUGGAGGCCACCAGAAGCCCGGGGAGGUCACCAGAAGUCCAUGGAGGCCACCACGUCCUCAAGGAGUCCCACCAAAACCCCUGGGAGAUAGCACGUCCCCAUUGAGUCCCACCAAAAACCCCUGGGAGAUACCUCCCACCUCCAUUUGGAGGCCACCACGUCCCCAAGGAGGGUGGCCCGUCCCUCCAGAGGCCACCGUGUCCUCCUGGAGGCCACUAGAAGUCCAUGGAGGCCACCAGAACCUCUUGGAGGCCACCACAUCCUCAUGGAGUCCCACCAGAAACCCCUGGGAGAUACCUCCCACCUCCUUUUGGAGGCCACCACCUCCCCCCAGGUCCCCACAGGGGCCACCCCGACCCACAGGGGGCCACCCCGACCCCUUGGUGGCCACCACGUCCUCAUGGAGUCCCACCAAAACCCCUGGGAGAUACCACGUCCUCAUGGAGUUCCACCAAAAACCCCUGGGAGAUACCCCCCACCUCCUUUUGGAGGCCACCACCUCUUUUUGGAGGCCACCACCUGCCCCCCCGUCCCCACGGGGGCCACCCCGACCCCACAGGUGACCCCCAAGUCCCCCCACGGGUUGUCCCCACCCCCUUUUUGUCCCCCUCCCCCCAUGGUAGACUACUCCAAGGAGUCCCUGGGGAGCGAGGAGGAGAGCGGCAAAGACUGGGACGAACUGGAGGAAGAAGCUCGAAAAGGUGGGUCCACGGUGGGGGGGGAGGGGGCACGAGGACCCCCCAAAAUUGGGGGAGGGGACCUC
rnacentral:lncRNA from 1 species